rnacentral:lncRNA from 1 species
AACCCAACGCAAAAGAGCAAGGAGGAGAGCGUGGGACCGUGGGGGCGGCGAUGCCAGACCGCCAGAUGAGGUGGUUGCGGGAGGGGCCGCGGCGUGUGUGUGUGUGUGACUGUGUGUGUGUGUGUGUGUGUGUGUGUGUGUGUGUGUGUGUGUGUGUGUGUGUGUGUGUGUGUGUGUGUGUGUGUGUGUGUGUGUCUGUGUGUGUGUGUGUGUGUGUGUGUGUGUGUGUGUGUGUGUGUGUGUGUGUGUGUGUGUGUGUGUGUGUGUGUGUGUGUGUGUGUGUGACAACGGUUUACAGUUGUUUAUCAGAUCACGUGAUCGUGUAUCCGGACAACCCGUAGUUGCUAGUGCCAGGGGCGCAUUAGCACCUUGUUUGUCGCGCAUUGGUCUGGCAGUACAUGUCUCCCAAGCCUACGCGUAGCGUUAGACGUCAGUUUGGCCACAGGAGCCGCACCUCCAUCUAUUGUGGUUAGACACUGAUUUGGCCCUAAGAGCCGCACCUCCUGUGUGUGUGUGUGUGUGUGUUGUGUCCCCUCGUGCGCGCUGUGAGUUCCCACCCGCCUCACCUCUCACUUCUAACCCCGCCCCGCCCCCCCCCCCCGGUAUGGAAUGCGUCGCGUGUGCCCGCUGUACCUCUGGACGUCGGCACUUCACUUCAUAUUUGAUACACACCAUCCCAUGGAUGGCUACCCCCCCCCCCCGGGUUCCCCCCUCAGGCCGGCAGCUGCACAUCGGCACCUACGGCACCGACCUGGAGGCGGCGCUGGUGAGGCGGUUGGCUGGGGUUGUAGGCGGUUGGGGGUUGUAGGCGGUUGGAGAUGGCAGUUAGACAUGGUUGGAGGUCUUGCUGGUCUGCCGGGGGGGUAGCCUCUUCCUCCACGACUUACCAGUCAUCACGCACUCUGAACCCCCCAUUCACGCACCCAUUGCCCCGCCUCAAGCAACACACACAUACACCACACACACACACACACGCACACCACAGGCGUACGACCGCGUGUCGCGCUACCUCCGUGGCGCCGCCGCAGUCGUCAACUUCCCCUCGGAGGCCGCCGCCGCCGCCGCCAUCACCGCCGCCGCCGCCAGCGAGUCUGCUGCCGCUUCCCGCGACACAGCUGCCACCGCCGCCUCGCCACAGGCAGCCGUGACGGUGCGGCGGGACUCCGCAGCCGCACACCCACCGUCACCAUCACCAGGUGUGUUACUUCGCGCUGCGACACCGGAAGAUGAGGAACAGUCGGUUUAGUGAGCAGAACUGUUAUAGGACUGAUGCGGCCAGGGCCCGGCCCGUUUCCCAUCCUUCGCGCGGCGAGAGCGGUUUCCAUCUUGCGCAUUGCGUGUGGGUUUUCCCUUAGCGCUACUGCCCCCCGCCCCCGCCGCCUCGCUCCUGUAUGUUUAAUUGCGCCGCACAGGGCACACAGCCGAAGGCCCCGCAGCGGCCGACGAGGCCGGCGGCGGCGGCGGCAGCGGCGGAGCUUCUGCUGGCGGCGGCGGCGGCCGCGGCGCGGGCGGCGGCAAGCCCUGGCCCGCCACCCUGCUGGACUCCAUCCCAGCGGUGGCGUCAUCGGCGGCGGCGGCGGCGGCUGGCGGUGGCAUGCCGGCGCCAGCUGCUGCUGCUGCAGUUGAUGAAGACGCGCUGUUAGCGGCGCCUUGCGGCGGCGGCGGCGGCGGCGGUCGCUGUGUGCGGCGGCGCAUAUCCGCACUGGAGCCGCGCUCAACCGUGUCGCCUGGCGUGCUACAGCCGCCGCCGCCGCCGGCAGUACCGGCGGCGGCGGCGGCGCCAGUUUCGCGCCAGCACACCGCCGCCGCCGCCACGACCCAUAUGAUGCAGCAGCAGCAGACCGUGGCGGCGGCGAUGGUGGUGGCGGCGUCCGCUGCUGCGGCCGCCGCCGUGGCGGGUGCGGCUCAUCAGGCGGCGGCGGCGGCCAACGGCGGCGCCGCCGCCGCCGCCGCCGCGCGCAGGCGCCGUGACAGUGGCGGCGGCGCCGCCGACAUCGUCACCGACGGCGCUGCCGCCACUAGCAGCGCCCAUGCACGUGCUGCUGCUGCUGCCUGCGGGGCGUCGGCGGCCGCCAGGCCGGGGCCCCAGGCCGUCAGCGGCGGCGGCGGCGACGGCGAUGAUGGACACAAUGCCGCCGCCACCGCUGCCGCUGCGGCCACCGGACAAGGCGUCAUCAGUCAGGUAACCGGCGGCUCCGCGCCGCCGCUGCAGCCGUGGCGGCCGGCGGCGACGGAGGUGCUUGAUUGCAAUGGUUGCGACGGCGGAGGAGGCGACGGCGACGUUGACAGCAGCAGUGCCCGCGCCUCCUGUUGGGUGGCCCGGGGCCUGCCCGGCAUUGACGUGGCGUGGCGCCACAGUGCCAGUGCCGGUGCCGGUGCUGGUGGUGACCACGAUGACUGCUGCGCGCCCACAGAUGCGGUCAUGCUGCCUGCUGCUGUGUCGGCGGCGCCACAUGCCUUCCUCCCGUCCACCCCGCAGCAGCACCCGCAGCACCCGCAGCGCCCGCAGCACGUGGCGGCGGCGGCGGCGCCACUGCUGCCGCCGCUGGCGGCUGUCGCGGCGGCGGCGGCGGCUCCCGCUCGCUCCUUCCUGCGCCACAGCUGCCCUCCCGACCACCCCGCCGCCGCCGCCGCCGCCGCCGCACCCAGCCAUCAGGACAUCCAACAGCCCCAUCACCACCACCAUCACCAGCCCCUCACCCGCAGCGGCAGCCCGCCGCCGCCGGACCCCAGCAGCGGGGGCAACAGCCGGCGGGAGGUGGCGGCGGCGCUGGCGGCCCUGCUGGCGGCGGGCGUGCCCCCGGACUUCCUGGCACAAGUCAUUAGCCGCCGCCAGCCGCAGGCGGCGCAGCACGAGCUGCAGCGGGCGCACACCCAGCAGUUGGCGGCCGUGGAUUGCCACCACAUGCACCUGCUGCUGCAGCCGUGCCCGUCAUCAUCACACCCGCCGCCGCCGCCCGCCACCGCCGCCGCCGCCGCCACCACCACACCAUCUCCCACCACUACACGUCCCACCGCCGCCACCGGCAAGGACGCCGCGAUCGCUGCCAUCCUCAAGAGCCUCAUGGGGCCACAGCAGCGGCCGACACCGCCGCCGCCGCCGCCGCCGCCGCCCCCACCGCACGCGAUGCCCUACCCGCCGGCGCCUGCCGUCAAGGGGCCGCCGCCGCCGGGGCCGCCGCCGCCCUCACCCGCCCUGCCGCCGCUGCAAUCCAACAGCGGCUGGUGCCCCUCAUCACGCAACAGCAGCUCGCAUCCUGCUGCCACUGCUACUGCCAUGGCUUCUGCCACUGCCACUGCUAUUGCUACUGGUGCUGGUUCUGGCAGCGCCGACGGCGCAUCACUUGACAGGUCAGCCGUGUCGUCAGCGGCGGCGGCGGCGGCGGCGGCAACGGCAACAGGCGGCAGCGUGGGCACCUGUGGAGCUGGCGGCGGUGGCCGCGGCGGCGGCGAGGAGGAGGAGGGCAGCGGGCUGCGGCGGCACGUGAUGACUUGGGUGGGUGGGCAGCUGCCCGGACUUCGGGGCGGCCUGCUCGGGGGCGCGCUGCUGGCGGCAGCGGCGCCGCCGCCGCCGCCCACACCCGCUGUGGCUGCCGCACCUGCUACUGCCAUGGCCGAAGAGCCGGCUGUAGCGAGCGGCGUCAGCCCCGACAGCAUCCGUAGCCUGCUGCUGCUACAGCGCCGCCUGCAACAGCAGCAGCAGCAGGUGGCGGCGCCGCCUGCGGAGCAGCAGCAGGCGGGCCGCCCCCCUUGCGCCCCCGCCGCCGCCGCCGCCGCCGCCGCCGCCGCCGAUGCUGAUGCGGACAUGGUAGACGCCGUGUCCAGCCCGCGGGUGGCGGAGGCGGCGGAGGCCCAGCCGGCGGUGGCGGCGGCGGUGGUCUGCCGCCGCCGUCACACCACGACCGAGCUGUCGUACACGCCAGCCGGGGGCUUCGCCGCCGGCGCCGCCGCCGCUGCGUCAGGAUCCUCAUACGCACGCGAGCCGCCGCGGCAACGGCCACGCCUGACCAGCCAUUAUGAGGAGGAGCAGCCGCAGCAGGGGCAGCAGCGACAGCAGGGGCAGGAGCAGCAGCAGCAGCCGCCCUUGCUGCCGCUGCUGCUGCUGCCCACGCGCCGCCACACGGCACCGGUAUGGGCGCAUGGCGGCGGCGGCCAUGAAAACGGCGGCCGUGAAAAUGCCGGCGGCGUGAGUGGCGGCGGCGGCGGCGGCCGCGAGUUCGGCUUCUGUGCUGUGGACGAGGCGGAUGAGGAACUCCUGUGCGGCGGCGGCGGCGGCGGCGGCGGAGAUGGCGGCUCGCCGUUGGCGCUGCAUUGGCGGCAACUGCAAGCAAUGCAGCUGCAGGCGCAGCAGGCGCAGCAGGCGCAGCAGGCGCAGGUGUCUUGGUCGCUAGGGCCGCAGCGGGUUCUGGAGCUGGCGCGUGGCGGCGGCGGCGGCGGCGGCGGCGGUGGUGGCUUACUGAUGCCGUUGUCUCCCUCGCACCAGCAGGCGCAGGCGCAGGAGCAGGCGCAGGGGUGGCUGCUUGGCCAGCUGCUGCAACAGCAGGGGCAGCAGCCGCAAGAGGGCACCCCCUGCAGCCCCACAGCGGUGGGCGGGGCGGCGGCGGCGGCGGCGGGCGGCAAGCGGCCCCGGGAGGACGCCUGCUACCGCAGCAGUGCGGACGGCGUGGAGGCACUGGGGCUGCGGCUGGGGCUGGGUGGUGUGGGGCUAGGUGCGGGCUAUGCGGGCGCUGCCGCCAGUGGUAUGGAUGGGAUGGAGAGCGGCGGUUGGGAGGAUGCGGGGCAGCAGGCGCCGCUGUCUGAUGAUGUUGAUGCGGCUUCGGGAGAAGCAGCAGCACCGCCAGCUAGCGCGGCGCCGGCGGCCCCAGAGGCCCCAGAGGCGGCGGCGGCGGACUGGGCGCCCGCGCCGGCGGCCCGGGGCCACCCCGACCGCAAGACACGGCUGCUGUAUGGCCACCAACACCACCAACACCACCACCUGCGCCCGCAGCUGUAGAGCUGUCCAGCGGCGCGCGUGCACGUGACAGCAGGCGGCGGCGGCGGUGGCAGCGGCGGCGCUGGAGCGUGAGGAGGAGCAGAGCGGCCGCGCAGCGCACGAUGAGUAGUGGAAAUGGAAGGAGGCCUGCCCAUUUAUAUCCGCGUGUGAGAGCCUGCGUCUUGUGCUAUGUCCUGGGGUUGUCCCAGCAUUCAGCGCGGCAGCUUAUAGAUAGCUGCGGCGAUUUUGUUUGUAUUGCUUACUUGGAUGGACUGAUACGAGAUUGCUGUCUGCUCCGAAGGGGUGAUGUGGUGGUGGCGGUGGUGAGACUACGGUAAUUUGUGCAGCACUGCAGUUGUAUUAUCGAAACUUCUCAUGUCCAGGACCUGCAAAUGGGUUUGCCAAGUUCAGAAAACAUGUGUGUGAGCGCUUCAGAGCCAAACAUUGGAAAUGACGCGCUGACACCGCGGCAGCGUCAGGCUGUGUUACAUAGGCCUCAGAUUCUUAGCAGCAGGCUACGUACUGUAGGUUGACUUGAAAGCUGUAUGUAGAUAGGGCACUUUGUUUGCGGCGCUGUCGGGUUGUUCGCUGUCCAGAAACAAAGCCAUGCUGCUAUUUUGUUUGCUGUGUGCGAGGAACGCACGUGUUUGGGUACUGCUUGUGUUGUCGUGCUGGCUGUGUAGUGUGUACAUUGCUGCGGUCCCGCCCUGAGCAUGGGUACGGUACUAGUACUGGUGCCGGCGGCUGAUGACGUACGGCGGGCUAAACACACCGCAAUGCCCUGUGGUGGGCUAGUUGGUGGCGUGGUGGUGGGUUGAAGGUGCCGUCCUGUAGGGUAGGGGGUACGUGUGCGCUGUCAUGACUCGGCGUGUGGUUGCAGAACGCUGCGCAGCGCCACUCGCUGCCUCCGGACGCACACACGCACACACACGCAGCACACGGCCAGCAGCAGCAGCGCACGCACAUGCACAGCACACGUAGCACAGCACGGCCCAGGCACAGGGUAUAUGAAACUAAUGCGGCAGGCAAGUGGCGUGGACGAGGGCACAAACUGAUGAGGGAACCUAAAUGUGUUUUGCGCAUACCUAUUAUGUUAUUAUGAGUUCUCCAUUGAGUAGAUUGGGGCCGUCCCCAGGUUUAUUGUUUAUGGCACUGGCAAGUUAUGGAGCUGGCGGCGGCAGCAGCAGGAGGUAGGGCGGCCGCGCGCUGGGCAAGGCGGGAAAGGAGCGUUGGCGGCGGCGCAGGACAGGACGAGUGCAGGAUAAAGGCAGGAUUAAGGCAGGAUUAAGGCAGGAUUAAGGCAGGAUGGCAGAGGUGGCGUGGAGGUGUGCAGGAGGUACCGAGGUAGGGCCGGUGCGUGCGCAAGAACGGCGGCACGGUCAGGGAGCCUGCGGCACGUCGGUUGCUGCUGGGGGCUGGGGGAGGAGGGCGGCAGGUGGAAUGGGUAUGGCUAGUGGACGAAUGCACACACACAGGCAAGGACACACACGGGCGCGGCAGCAUCAAUCACUUGUUUGAGUGCUAGUAACUAGCAGAGGGUGGGCUGAAAUAAAAGGGCGGCGGCACGUUGCUGCUAGGGGCUGAGGAGGAGGGAGGCCCUCCCCUGGAUGUGGUGUACUAACGCACACACUCCGGCAAGGACACACACGCCGGCUUGUUUUGGUGGUAGUAAGUAGCAGCAGGGGUGGGCUAAAAUUAGAACGGCGGCGCCCCCGAGAAUGGCAAUGACAAUGUAACGGUGGGCCUGUUGCCUCUGGCCCUGUGCCCAAAGUCUGCCCAGUCCAUGCCCCAGCGAAGACGACGCGGACGACGCGCAACGGCACAAGGCCUUAGUUGACGGGCGGCCAGGCCCUUCCAACCGGGGCUUCCAACCACCCUCAGCCCCAAUCCCUAGUGGCUAGUGCCCUACCUCUUAGCCCCACCUCUUAGCUUCAGCAAUGCUGCCCAACUUCGGUACCCCACGCUGCCAAUGCUGCAGCCCCGGGCAGCAGCAGCUCGGCGUGGGCGCACAUGGAGAUGGAUAGCCGCUGCCCAGCAUAAGCCUAGUGCGUGCGUACGUGCGGCGCAGGAACGCCGCCGGUGAGAUAGAGGACUUGAUGGUUAGCCAGAGAUGCUCAAUAUUUCAGUCAGACCCGGGGGUGGGUCGGUCAUUAUUACCUUGCAGCGCUCUGCCGUACAGCCGCACCCCCACCCAUUCGUUCUCACCCCGGUCAGGUGCGCACUGCCAACUAACGCGCUGCACUCACGACAACUUCCGUACUCGGGUCUGGCUGAACCGCACGCACUGAGACCGAAAGGCACGCUUUGUCCCCAUUAUUGCUGUGCACGCACCCUCUUCAACAGCCACACACUGCUGAAGCUGCCGCCGCUCUUUGACGCACCCACUGCAAAGCCGGAGGCCCUUCCACGUACGAGUGCUCCCUGGCCUCAAUCCAAACUGCACAGCUGAGCCUGGCUCCACUGCCCCUUGCCUCAAUGCCACAACCCAUACAGCCAUUCUGUGUGUAAAGCACUACCUAUGCCAGAGCCAUAAGCCCACCUGCCCCACAGCUCACGUACACAGACACAUAACAUAUUCGCAUACACUGUGUGCGCUAUGCUUUCCUUGUGCUCUUUAACACAUAACAUAUUCAACUGACACUAGAGCAUGGCUACGGAGCUAUGCAUGAAGACCUUACCCGCCGCACGCCAACCCACGCCACGUCACGCCUCACAUCACAAAGUGACUCAUGCAUGUCACACACGCGCCUCACACAUCACAACGCGCCGUCCUUCUCCGCGUUGCGCAGUGUGUGCACCAGGUCUAUCCCGUGCUCCGGCAGCACCUGCGCGGGGGGGGGGCGUGGGGCGUGCGGUAUGGCAUGUGUGUGUGUGUGUGUGGGGGGGGGGGGGUUGGGGUGGGAUGGGGGUCUGUGUGGGCGUGUUUGGGUGUGUGUGUGUAUGGCGUGACGUGAUCAGGCAGCGUGGGCGCGCCACCGCGAUGGAGCGUGCUGCGUGUCAGCUGUUGCUGCACCGGCGGGAGGGCGUGUGAUGCCGGCCCCGAGGCCGCGAGGGCCGGCCCCUGAACCCCCUGCACCCUCACGCGUACCCACAGAACAGGCGCUUGAGCCGCUUGAGCCGCUUGAGUCGCCGGCGGCGCCUCCAAGCCACCUCAUCCGACCACCCACCCGGACGUGUAACCCCCGCACCCACACACCGCCCCCGCACCCACCCACCCACCUCGUGCAUGAGGCCGUCCGCCGACCUGCGGCACUUCUUGAGGAACGCCAGCAGCACCUGCACACCGGGCGGGUGCCCGCGUGUGUGUGUGUGUGGUUGCGUGGUUGUGUGUGUUUGUGUGGUUGUGUGUUUGUGUGUGAGCGUGUGUGUGUGUGUGUGAGCGUGUGUGUGUAUUUGUGUGUAUGUGUGUGUGAGAGAGAGAGGGAGUGGGUGUGUCCGCGGCUGUGGCUGUGGCGGCACUAGGUGACAUGUACCGUGUUGCAGUGGGGGCAGAUGGGGGCGGGGGUAGCGGGCUUCACAACGCUCCCCAGCCGACCGGAAGUGUGUGUGCAUGAUCCUGUGUGCGCGAGCCACAGAGGAGACACACGCACCUUGUGGAACACGUCGGGCUUGUCCUCGUAGCUGCGGUGGCCCGCACCCGGGAUGACCACCUGCACGAGGGAGGGUUGGGUGGGCGUGUGUGUGUGUGUGUGUGUGUGUCCUUCCCACACUGCCUGCCGUGUCGAACCCUUUUCUAUCGUGUGCUUUCUAACACUGCGCCGGCCCCUGUCUCUACAUAGCCACACACACACACUCCCCUCGCACCUUCCAGCUGUGUUGGAACAGCUUGGUCAGCCGCUCCGCAUCCGGCACCAGCGCGUCCUUGGCGCCGUACACGGCCAGCGCGCACACCUGUGUGUGUGUAGUUAUGUGUGUGUGUGUGUGCGUGUGUGUGUGUAUCAGGCGAGGAAUGGGGGAAACAAUCGACACUGUGCAUGUGGCAGCGCGUGCAGACGGGGAAGGAACCCUCCCUCCCUCCUUCCCUCGGCCUCCCUCCGUCCCUCUCCCUCCCUCUGCGCCCCCCACCCGCCUCACCCGCUUGUGGGUGUCCUCCCAGGGCCCGCCCCAGUCGCGCACGCCAAUGGGCGCCACAGCCACGAAGCUGGUGAUGAGCGUGCCGUGCCGGUCCAUGAAGGGGAUGGAGUAGCGCCUGCAGGGGUGGUGAGGGUGGCGAGGUGGAUUUGUGCCAGGAAUGAACGAGGCUAUAGGGGCUUAUCGUGAGCACCCCUCCUGGGAAUGGUGAAGACAUCCCCUCCCCUCCCCCUCCCCCUCCCCCUCACUCUAUUGCAUUGGGUUUGGUUUAGUUUGGGCUGGUAUCAAAAACCCUCCCCCUCCCUCCUCCCCCCCCACCCGCUCAUGGAGGGCGACACCAGUACGACGGUGGCGUUCACCCGCUGCCAGGCCGCCUCCACCACCGUGCGCAGCAGCUCGCUGCGCAUGUUGUUGUCGCUGUACGGCAGGGGGGGCGUGUCGCCGAAACCUUGGGUGGGGGUGGGGAGGGCAGAGGGGAGGGCAGAGGGGGAAGGGAAAGGGAAAGGGGGGAGAGUAAAGGAGGGCAGAGGGGUGAGCGGGGAAGGGCCGGCAAACAUCAUGAUGUCGACCUCAGGCAACAAUUUCCACCCCCGCGCCGGGACCCCCUUCUGGUCCCCGUCAACGUUCCUGUCAACGUCCCACACGAGCAGUAUCGCAAUCCUGAACUAGUGAACGUGUCUUGCCAUGCACCUCGAUGUCCCCGCUUUCUCAUGUGGAAUGGUGAAACAACCCCAUCCCCUCCCCCUCCCUCGUUCUCUCCCGCGACCCCCUGCCGCUGCUCCCCCCGCCUCCCUCUCCACCCCAUUACGCAACCCCCCGCUCUGGAUGGGGCUGGCGAGUUUAGGUUCACUCGGUUGGCUUGCUUUGGAUUCUGGAAUGAACUACCCCCGCCCUCCCCCCCCCCCCCCUUCCCGCACCCGGCAGGUCAAUGGCCAGCGCCCGCACGCCCGCCUCCGCCACCGCCUGCAGCGUGCCCAGCUGCUGCCAGAAGGCGGAGCUGUACUUGGCGCCGUGCAGGAAGAUGGCGGUGGGGUUGCGCAUCGCCGCUGCGUCGGAGGGAAGGAGAGGGAGAGGGAUGGGGAGGGGGAGAGGGGCGAGAGUGGGGUUUGGAGCAGUGUGUGGUUUGAGAGGGGAGGGCAGGGGAGAGGGAGACGGUGGAUGGAGAAGGGAGCUGGCAGGCGGGCUAGCGUGUUGGGCGCGGGCAUCGUGGCUGGCGAGAGUUGCGAGCGCUCAGGGCGGUGAGCACCAGUGCACAGCGCACGAGGGCGACUCCCAGGCAGGGAGAAACCGAGCGUCUCCUUCGGGUUUGCUGGCGUGCCCACCUUCCUCCGGCCCAGGGUCGACCACCUCAUAGAGCCUGUAUGCUAUCUUUAUAUCAAAGAAGGGUAUUGUGCCGGUCUUUAGCUCGACUUGCUUCGGCGUGGAAGCAGUGGAAGUUGAAGCUGCUGCAAGGAGCAGCGCCCCUAGACAAGACCAAAGCGCAGAUCUAUGCAUUUUACCGUCGGAACACAUGCAGUUUUCCGAAGAACUCGAAACAGUCGCUGGUUAGUUUCCCGCGAAGAAUCGGACUGUCCAUGCAGUUUUUUCAUCCCAGCAACUUACCGUUCGCUGACUUUUUGACUGUUAUCUGUGUACUGCGUAUAGCAUUGUAAAAUAGGGACACGCUAGCUAGGCCCCCUUCGACGUGACCUUCGGCAGUGAAUGUUGCUUCCUUCCGCACGGAACCUCUGAACUCUAGCUUACGAUCAACCAGCUGCCGGACUAGACUCAUACAUUAUAUAACAAAGCUACUGGAAGCGCCGGGGUGCGUAGCGGGGAGCGAGCGGACGUACAGGCAGCGUCGAAAUGGCACCCAAAAAGGAGGAGAAGAAGCAGGUUGACCCUGUCGAGUAAGUCACUUGCAUGGGGCUGGAGGGGGCGAGCACUGCCGCGGCACAUGCACACCACAUUGCGCGUGUCGCCUCGCCUCCCGCACCGCUGCAGGGCCAAGUUCCAGGAGGAGAUCAAACAGUUAGAGCAGGCUAAGAAUGACCUGCAGCUUGAACACACGUUCCUGCUGGACAAGUUCCGGCAGCUUAAAGCCGAGAACGACCGGCUUCGGGGCGAGAUUGAUGGCAUGAAGGGCCGCCUGACUCACGCUGCCGACGACUAUGUGCGUUGCAUGGGAAGGGGGGUUGGGGUGAGGGUCAAAGCUCCGGGUGGCAUGGUGGUGGUGGUGGUGCUGGCUGGGGUACGGGUCGCGGGGUGGUCGCGGGGGGUUGUGUGGAGGGGGUAGGGGCCGCCAAGGACUUGCGUGGGCACACACGACGUGCCGUUAAGCGGGCGUCUUGCCCCUCCCGCCUUCCUGGUACUGGCACCCGCCUGCGUGCCGCCGCCGAUCGCGUGGCAUCAGGCCAGAGACCGCGCACACACGGCGCAGCGCUGCCUUUUAGGGGGAGGGGGUUACGGGGGGGAAUCAGGCGCUGUCGGCGCAUGUGGCUGGGCAGCUCGUGCGUGCCCUGUGCCCUCAUGCAGUUAUUGUUCCCUCGUGUCAGCCAUUCCUACCGCCCUGCCCUCCUCCUACCGCCCUCCCCCCUGCCUUCCUCCGCCCCCCCCCCCUCCCUGCCCAGGCCGACAUCCUGGAGCACCGCCAGGAGCAGAUCAAGGCCGAGGAGGCCAAACUGAGGGGGCUGCAGGUGGGGUGUGUGUGUGUGGGGGGGAGGAGGCCAAACUGAGGGGGCUGCAGGUGGGGUGGCUGUGUGUGUGGGGAGGAGGAGGCCAAGCUGAGGGGGCUGCAGGUGGGGUGGGGGUGGGGGUGGGGGUGGUUGGGGUUGUAAAUACCAGCCCAAACUAAAACAAACCAAGGAGGGGCAGGGCUGGCGGGGGGGGAGUCCAAACUGAGGGGGCUGCAGGUGGGGUGGUUGUGUGGAGGGUGGGUGGGCAGGGCUGGCAGGGGGAAGGCAGGGUUGGGGCUUGCGGGGGCGGGGGCAGGGCUAGGGCGCGGGGCCGCACGGGUGAGACACCGUGCCGAGACCAACUCUGACGAGUUUGCAACUUGUCGGGCACAAGUUUUGAGAGGGGCAUUUUUCGCAUCUGGGGUGGGGGCAGACGUUGGGAUUGGAGUGAAGGACCCUCCAAACACACACGCACACGCGCCCCCGAACCCCCCUGCUGCUGCUGCUGCUGUCGCGCCGUCGCAGUCCAACGUGGAGAAGCUGGAGCUGGACGUGGGUCGGGCGGAGGAGGAGAUCCGGCAGCUCAAGGAGGCCAACGGGCACCAGGUGGGGUGGGUGGGUGGAGGAGGGGGGUGGAGGUGGGGUGGGGGGUGGGUGGGACGGGGUUGGGGGUUGGAAGGCGGUGGGGGGGUGGGCGGGGGUUGUGUGUGUUUGUGUGUGUGGGGGGGGUAGCCAUCCAUGGGAUGGUGUGGGGGGGGUAGAGAGGUUGGUCAGGGGGCAGGCAGCGGGCCGCCGUGGUGGCCGCCGUGGUGGCGGCCGCGGUGCAGAGCGAGGGGUUAGGUGGACAAGGCGAAGGGCGGAGAGGGCGAGGCGGGCAGGAGCGGCCAGGAGGGCUGGUGCUGCAGAGGGCGGCACCUGAGAAAGCCGGCUGUGGUGGUGGUGGGCACAGCUGUUGGCGCAUUGCCAAAACGCCUGACCCAUCGGGUCUUGGCUUCUUUGAUAUUGGAAUGAACAACACACACCAUCANNNNNNNNNNNNNNNNNNNNNNNNNNNNNNNNNNNNNNNNNNNNNNNNNNNNNNNNNNNNNNNNNNNNNNNNNNNNNNNNNNNNNNNNNNNNNNNNNNNNUCGGGUCAUUGGUCGUGCCUGCGACUUGGUGACUGCGGGCAACACACACACACACGUGGACCGUAUGUGCGGACAUGAUGCGCGACCAAUCAACCCGUCUAUUUGCCCCGUCCUCCCUCCACCCGCCCCCCCCCCCCAACCCCCAACUUCUCCCCAGGGCCGCGAGAGCCGCUUCCGCGUCACUGGCCUCAAGUCCAACACGGAGUACAUCAUGUGCGUCAAGGCGCUGUACGACGACGGCAGCUUCCUGUGGAGCGAGAGCAAGGCCUACCGCACCCUGGCCUAGCUGGGCGGGGGGGCUGAGGCGGGUGGAUGGGGGGCGGGGCUGAUGGUGUGUGUGCGUGUGUGGGGGGAGUGGUGGUGUACGGGUGUGCCGGGGUUCGGGUGGACGGGUGGACUGAGGUGCUGCAUGAUGGAGUGUGGCGCCUCGGUGUGGUGCCGGUCGCGCAAGGCCGUGCGUGCGUGGUGCUGCGUUUUGCUGCAGCAAGUGAUUGAGGCGCGGCGGCGGAUUGCAGAGUGUCAGCAUUGGGGAGAUAUACAUGGACUCAUGGAACGAGCGCCAGCAGGCACCGAGUCUGCACCAAUGUGUGUCCAACCUCCAUAACUCCAUUCCAACCCCAAGUCCUCCCAGUCCUCACUCCCCAAGUCCUCGUCCCCCGAGUCCUCAUUGCCCAACACCUCAACACCUGGUGCCUCUUGGCCCAGGCAAACCCUCGCGAACCAAUUGCCACGUGGCCAGCAGCAAAGCAUACCGUACGUUUUUGGUCACCCGUGUAAUGAUUGACGGGCACCAUUUACUGUCUACGCUGCAACAGUGAUGUCUACGCCUAGCCUAUUAUACACACCAGCAUAGCACCAGCCAGCCCAUGUCGCAAUUCGCAAGUCGAAGUGGUGGCUGCCGUAAACCCCAGCUCUGCCACGCGGCCUCUAACCCCACUGCCCCGGCCCGACUCCUGAGACACCACGCUCUGCCACACAACUCUGCCCGGGAGCAGCCCCCCACACCAGUUCAGUCCAGGCGAAUGUCACCCAUACAUGUGGCCGCCACGCCCAGCUGCUGCAGCACCUCCCCCCCCCCAAAGUCCCCUGACACCCGCCCGCCCGCUCAUGCCCCCACCAGCACAACCCUCUCACUGCGCCGCACUCCCCUCACAUUACCGUACUUCACGCCCGCCCGCCCAACCAAGGCCCCAGCCACGCAAAUCCACCCUUCCCCAUCCCCACUCCCACUCCAGCCCCAUCCCUACCUACGCCCCCUCCAGCCCGCCGUGCCACCUCCUCCCCCCCCUCUGCCUGCACUCCCCUCGUUUUCGUUGGUUCGGUUUAGGUUGGGCUGGUAUUUACAACCCCUUUACUCCCACUCCAGGUCCUCGGGCCGUAUCGCCUUUUUAAGCGGCACCACCGACCUGCGGCUCGCGUCCCGCUGCAGCGCCUUGCGCAUGUCGUACGCGUCCUCGUCGCCGCUGUAGUAGCCGGUUACGGUGCGGUACACGAUGUAACCGAACUUGCCGUACAUGGCGAUGGCCACGGCGUUGGACUUGCGCACGAACAGGUCCACAAAGUAGCAGUCGUGCACCUGGGGGGGGGGGAUUCGAAUAGGGGGGGAUUGGGGGAUGGGGUGGGGAGGGGCGAACGCACGGGGCGAAUGUGGGUGAGGGUUGAUGACGGGCGAAUGGGUAGGAUGGGGUCCUCACCUCCUCAAUCCCGCACCGUCGCACUCCCUUUCCAUAUUCUUAUGCGGUUAUGCCCUCACCCACACGUCUCUUGGCGCUCUCUAACAUUCCUCCACCCACCCAAGUUUACUUUGAAAUUAACUACCCCCGCCCCCACGCCCCCGGGUUUCGGAACAAAACGCGCCCCCUCCCCCUCCUCCCAUGUUCCCCCCCCCGCCCACCUUCUCCGAGAUCUCCUCCAGUAUGGCCAUCAGCUUCUGCGCCAGGCUCUGCCGCCGGAAGUCCGGCCCCACCGUCACCGCCGUCACGUGGCCGUGCCACAGCUCGCCCUCGCCCUCGGCCUUGCCCAGGAUGUAGCUGCGGGGGUGCGGGGGCGGGGCGUGUGUGUGUGUGUGUGUGUGUGUGUGUGUGUGUGUGUGUGUGUGUGUGUGUGUGUGUGUGUGUGUGUGUGUGUGUGUGUGUGUGUGUGUGUGUGUGUGUGUGUGUGUGUGUGUGUGUGUGUUAAAGAGCACAAGGAAAACGUUGCGCAAAGACAGUGUAUGCGAUGCAGCAAAGCGAUGGUUUACGGAUGUUACCUGAAGUUACCUCGCAUACCUGCUGCGUUGAGCCGCCGGUCUUACCAACCGGAAAUCGCGCAACCCCCGCUACUCUAACCUCGAGGGGGGAUUAGUGUCCACACGCUCUCAAGGGUGCAAACCCAUGCAUGUGCUCACGGUACCGUGAGGCCCAGGCACUCCUACGAUUCCUAGCUCCGCGCCGCUACUCCUGGCCGCUAAGUCCAAGCUCCCGUGUGUGUGUGUGUGUGUGUGUGUGUGUGUGUGUGUGUGUGUGUGUGUGCGUGCGGGGUGAGAUGGGGUGGGAUAGUCAAUUAGAGCCAAAACUGACCGGGGCCCGGGGUAAUGACACCAUUCACAGUAAGGAGUACGAGACACUGAGACACGUGCCAAGGGGGCCGACGGGCGGGCGAGGACAGGGGCAGGGCGGGAAGGCCUACCAGCGAAGGCGCAUGUGGCGUGUGGAUGGGGGGCGGUGCUUCCUCCAUCAGUCCCUUGACGACCCGCGCUCCCUGUUGUUAUCCCGCCCCCCUGCCCCCACCCCCUGCCGCCCCCUGCCCCCUGCCGCCCCGCUCCCACGCAUGGCCCCCUCAACACCGCGGCACUGCACAGCCAGCGGCGCCAGCACGUGCGGCGGCCCCGCUGCUGCUGCCAGUGCUUCCGCAGCUGGUGCUGUUUUUGCUUGUGCUGGUGCUGCCGCGGCUGGUGCUGGUGUAAUGCGGCCCCUGGCGGGUGCUGCUCCGCCCAGCCGCUCCGGCCGCUCGGGCCGCUUGGUCACAAGCCCCGCUGACCCCGGCCGUGGCCGUGGCCGUGACCGUGCGGUACACAUGCAGCACGGUACGCAGGGUUCGGAAGGAUGGCUGUUGUGCCGUGGCUAUGCGCACCAGACGGCAUGGGGCCAAACCCCACACCGCUCCCACCGGCCCCGCCCCGCACCCCCCAAGCCCAAGACCCGCAGCCCCGCGUCCUGGCGCGCUCACCCCAUCGCCUGCUUGCCCGGCCCCUCCGCCAUUAAGCAGUACUCUGGCCAUUUUGCGAGGUAGGUGAGGUAGAAGGGCAGGUUGUAUGUCUCGGUGAGGAUGUCUAGGUUCACGUUGUUGUAAUUAAACAGAUCAUUGCAUGUAAAUCUCCUUAGUGUUGUCAUCGCGACCUAUUUUCAAGCAGCGAGCGACCGAGUCGGCGUAGCCAGGGCAAGGGCGGCAAAAGAGCUGGCUGAGUUACGAGUGUAAUUCCUUAGCUCUGCAGUGUUAAGCAAUAUCUUGUUGCUGCUGUUUGAGAAUAAGAGAGGCUUCAAACAAGCGCCCUGGAAUUGUCACUGCUUGCAUGGGCGCUCCAGAAAACCUUACGCAUUUACUACUUCAAGCUAGUAAUUUGAUAUUAUUACUGCAAUACUUACUUUUUCAAGUUCUCAUUGCUUAAGAAUGCGACUGUCACUUUGGAAGCCGAAGUCGAGAGCCCUUGGCAGGCCAGACCCACAAGCGCAGAGUUGCUGUUUACGAUACUAAGUCUCAGAAAUGUCAUUUCCAUGGAGCACGGCGUAAGUUGCGCACGGUCGGCGAGGAGCUGCUCCGGGCAGUUACUCGGGAUGGGCGUCCGCCUGACUUCGUUUGCUGGCUUUGGUGUCCCCGGCUCGCAGGGACUCCAUGCGUGUGGGUACGCUGCUGGGCGUGCACCGGAAGGGGAAACGCGAAGUCGACCAGCCGAACUGGUUCCGCCUGGUUGAUGGUAACGAGCUACUAUGGACCUUGGCUGAGUCCGGGGGACAGGGCCCACUGCUGCCCUCCGCACCUGCCGUGGAGACCGCAUCUGUAAGCUGGACAGAGCUAAGCGAGGCGAUGGGGGUAUCUGCUGGUGUGGUGGGGCAAGGGUUGGGUAGGGAUGGAGGCAUGAGAGGUGGCAAACGGCAUUACCGGGGUUUGGCUGAGUGGCUGAGUAGCAAGUAGCAACGCGCCCGACUGCUAGGCCAGGACUGUUUCACACUUCGCCAACCUACUUGCUCCAACCCCUAAGCACAUUAUCCAACUCCAACAUCUUGUGACACAAACCCUGCCGAACUGCCGAACAUUUUUCCCCCCACCAAACCCACAGUCGGCCGCCGCAGCGUCAGCGUCAGCAGCGCUCGCACCCCAGCGCUUCUACUUCCCCGCGGCACCCGUGGGGGCGCCGCCGCUGCCUGGCUCCCAGCCCAACGCCGGCGCCCAGCACGCCGAGCUGGCGGCGGCCGCGGCGGCGGCGGCGGCGCCCCUGCCCGCCAAGGUGGUGCCGGCGGCGACAGCGGCGGCGGCGGGUGGCGGUGCGUCAGGGCGGUCGCUGGCGGCGCAGUUGGACGCGCUGGGAAUGCUGCCGCUGGCGCCGGCGCCGGCGCCACCGCAGCUGCAGGGGCAACACCAACAGCAACAGGGGCAACAGGGGCAACAGGGGCAACAGGGGCCGCAUGCGGCGGCGGUGCACAUGCCGAGGGCAGCUGCGGCGCCGCCCCCCAUGGUGGUGCAGCAACAGCUGCAGCAUAUGCAGCCUGGGCCGCCCUCUCAGGUGCCAGCCGCCGCAGCGGGCACAGCUCUCUCGCCGCCGCCGCCACAGCUGCUCACCACCGCCCUCUCCGGCUCCGUCGCCGGCAGCCGGCCAGCCACAGCUGCUGCCGCCGCCACCUCCGGCGGUGCAGACUCCAAGGCAGCUGGCGGCGGCGCCGCCACCGGUGGCGCUACUGCUGCUACAGCCAGCAGCGGCGGCGUGACGGUGGCGUAUGCUCCCGUGGGUAACGCGGCAGUGUACGACGGCACGCUUCCACCCGAUGUGGCGGCGUGGGGGCCGGGUUACGCCCCGCCGCCUGGCGCCGCCGCCACUGGGGAUGCGGCUGCGGCUGCUGCUGCUACAGCCGCUGUGUCGGGCAUUCAGCAGUGGCUGCUGCUACUGCCGGACCACAGCCGUGCGGUCAUGGCCAAGACCUGGUGGGUGGUGGCGGCCUGGCGGUGUUUGUGUGGGGGUGGGUGGGUGGGGACUCGAGUAUGCUGGGCAGGGUUCAAGAGCCAGGCUGUUGACACAAGCAGAAAGCCUUCUUACCGUAUUAUAACCCCACGGACACACUGCUACAGUCUCCUUUUAUCGUUCUCACACUCGCACCCUCUCUCCUCACGCUUUCCUACGCACCCAGGGCCAUCUCCGCGCACCGCGCCGCCGCCGCCGCCCUGCCGCGGUCGCAGCCGCCACCCGCCACCGCCGCGCCGGCCGCUGACUUCGAGCCGCAGCUGAUGAGCAAAUACCUGGUGCGUGUCUGUGUGGAGCGGGGUGCGUGUGAGUAUAAUGUUUUGUAGGCCUUCACUCGUGUGUAUGCUGCGCUGUGCUGCACUGUGUAAUGCCGAUCACGGCAUCGUUGGAAAGGAGCUGCUGCUGCUGUGCUUGGGUGUUUCACACGCGUUUCCCCCGCCCUCCCCCCCGUGCUCCCCCCUCCUGACGUGCCGUACAGGACUCACUGGUGUGGCCGCGACCCGGCACGCCGUGGCGGGGGCAGCUGGAGGGCGCCCUGCUGGUGCGUGCCGUACAGCAGCCUGUGGGGGGGGGGGGGGGAAGUGGUGGCCGUGGUGGAUGGCGGAGGCUGAAGGGGGCUCAGACAGGGGGGGAAUCAGCUUCACCACCGACACUUUAUUGCAGGACAGCCGACCUGUCGAGCUCACACAUCCGUGCUUCCUUCCUUUCCUGGUGAUCUGCAACACUCAUGCACCUGUUACACGGUGUCCAUCCUCCCUCCUUUUGCUGUUUUGUUUCGCCUACACAACGGCCAACACACACACACACACACACACACACACAUGCUCAUUCACGCACACUCACAGGUGGACCAGACGCAGUAUGUCAGCGGCGAGCCCGCGCCCCAGGUCAACCUCACGCCUGGUCUGGUCUGGCAGUACACCAACGAGCUAUACGAAACGGGCCAACCGCCGCCGCCGCCGCCACACAUGGAAGGCAUGGACCAACAGGCGGCGACACUGGCGCUGUACGGCGCUGACGUCACUGGCGGCGGCGGCGCGUCGCCGCCAUGGGACCAGCAACUGCAGCAGCAACAGCAGCAGCAGGGGCGGCGUUACGGCGGCUCGCCCACGUACAACACCCUGUACGGCACUGACAGCGUGUACGGCGGCGGCGGCGCCGCCACUGACGCGGCGUCGUACGCGGGAGGGGGCUCGCGGGGGGACAUCAGCAGCAGCUGGGACCCGCAUCAUCAGCAGCAGCUGCUACAGCUGCAGCUGCAGCGUACGGCGGCGGCGGCAGAUGAUGACUACAGCGCACAGGUGGGGUCGCCGGAGCACUUCCUGGGCCGGCCGCCAGCGGGCCGCACGCCCGUGACGGCGGCUGUAGCACCCGGGUCCUACCGCUACCGCGGCGGCAGCAGCGGCGGCGGCGCACUGCUACUGCCGACAUCCGGUCGCGGCGCCGCCGCCGCCGGCAGCAGCACUGGGCCUAGCGGUACACAGCAGCUGUACGGCAUGUAUGAGUGGAUGGUGGGCGCGCCGCCGCCGCUAGGCGGCGGCGGCGGUGGCGGCCAGCGGGUGCUACAGCCGACACUUGCCAGCAACCCGGCGAUGACGGGGGAGCUGAUGACGCUGGAGACGGGGGAGCAGCUGCUACUGCCGCCGCCGCUCACACCGCUGGAGCAGUCGGUGCUGGAGGGGCCGCUGGCGAGGGUGCCGUACCCGCCCGAGCUGGCACGGUACGUGUCGUCCCGUACUACGGCCAUUACGACAUCAUUGUACGACAAGCCGCAGCCGCUGGCGCUGCAGCAUGUGCCGUACGCGGCGGUGUGGCAGGCCAUGUGGGCGGCGUGGGAGCUCGAGGAGCGGCAGCGGCAGCAGCAGCAAACCCAGCUCAGCCGCCUGCUGAAGCGCUCCGGCGGCGGCGGCGCGGCCUCCUCGCUGCUGCCGCCGCCGCAGUUCCAGUCCGACACCUACAUCACCGACAUGUACGGCACCCCCAUUUCGCCGGAGCUGCUGUACGACCAGACCACGGCGGCGGCUGCGCCAGACCACCAGACCGGCUGGAGUUUUGCGGACCGCGCGUUCGCGCUGCGCCGCCGUAUGGACCGCAAACGCAUGGAGGAGGCGCUGGCGCCGGUUUUCGUGGUGGACCUGGAAAACGGCGCCGUAACAAUCAGCUACGUGUCUACAACUGCCAAGGACGCCGCCGCAGCAGGCGGGCGUGGGGAGGUGGAGACGCAGACGUCGCUGCGGGAGGGCUCGGGUUCAGGCAGCGAUGCCGCGCCAGGCGAGGAGGAGGGCUCGCUGAGCCGGAGCAGUAGCACCAGCAGCACCAGCAGUAGCCGUAGUAGCAGCAGCGGCAGUAGCAGCACUAGUCGCGGCAGCGUGAGUGGCAUCUCCAAGAGCGCCGAGCGCAGCCGGUUCAGGAGGAUGAUGCGAGCUCUGAACCCGGUGCGGUGGUGGCGGCACAUGCGGCGGCGGCAGCGCGGCGACAGCAGCAGUAGCAGCAGCAGCGACAGCGACAGCGAGUCUGACUAUGAGAGCGAUGAGGAGGAGGGUGCCGGCAGCGGUGACGGCAGCGAGGAGGGCCGCCGCCGCCGCCACGCGCGGCGGCGGAGGCAGUCACAUGCUAGCGGCGGCGGCGGCGGCUCGGAUGCUGAGUCGUCAGAGCCCGGCUCGGAGGUCACGAGCGAGGGCGAAGGCGAGGACGAGGAGGGGGGCGCUGGGAAGCCUGACAAGCGCGCCGGGGUAAAGGCGGCCGUGCGGCGGCGGCAGCAGCAGGCGGCGUCACUGGCGCGGCGCGCGGCGCGGCGGCUGCGCCACGCGUCCCGCCUCACCGCCCACCACUCCCGCAACGCCUGGCGCACGCUGCGGCACGAGCCGCUCAGAUCCACGCCGCCGGCCCUGUCGCCGUACACACCCACAGUGGCUGGUAGCGAUGAAGAGGAGGACGACGAGGGGGAGGCAGAUGGCGAGGAGGAGGGCGAGGAGGGCAGCGAGGAACGCAAGGCAGCCAUGCUAGCCAAGAAGAAAAAGGCGGCCGCCGCGAAAAAAGAGAAAGCGGCGGCGGCGGCGAAGCUUGCUAAGAAGCAGCAGGCGAAGAAGAAAGCAGCAGCAAAAAAGGCUAAGAAGAGUAAGAAGCAUGGGAGCAAGAAGUCGAAGCGGCACGGCAGCAAGAGGAAGUCGAAGAGCCACGGCAGUAGCCGCCGCACCAGCACUUCGGGUGCCGCCGCCGCGGCUGACCGCAGCGGCAGGUCUGGAGCUGCUACUGCCACUGCUGGCGGCGGCGGCGGCCGGGUACGCGGCAGCAGUGGCGCUGGCGCCGAUGGCGCUCCGGCGGCUGCCGACCGGCGGCAGCCGCGUGAGGAGCCGGAGGGCGAGAGCGAGGAGGAGCCAGAGCAGAUCGAGUCAGACGACGAAGGGGAGCAGGUGACGGCGGCAGCAGCAGCCACUGAGGAGGGCGGCGGCGCCGCCGCCACGGCGGCGGCGAAGGCGGCGGCGAAGGCGGCGGCGAAGGCCGGCAAGUCGGGCGCUAGCGGCAAGAAGAACAAAAAGGACGCGGCCCAUGCGGACACGGCUGGAGGCAAGAAGGCUAAGAAGGGCCUCGGCACCAAGACAAAGAAGCUGACUGGCAAGCUAAAAUUCUGGAAGCGAGGUGCCGCCGGGGGCGGUGGUGGCAGCGGCGGUGAUGGCGAGGCGGCGGCAUCUGAGGAGGAAGACGGAGAGGAGGGCGAUGGCGAACGCGAGGAGGCUGAGGCGGGGGCGGCGGCUGGUGGCGAUGCCGCCGCCGCCAGGAGCAAGGGGAAGGCUCUCAAGGUGAAGGCCGAUGCCACAGCCACAGCCAAAGCCAAAGCCAAAGCCGAUAAAACGGAGAAGGGCAAGAAAGGCGCUAAGGACGCUAAAGACGCCAAGAGCAAGGCAACAGACAAGAAGCAGAAGGGCAAGGCCGUCAGCGCCGCUGGUGCUGAGGAGGCUGAGCCUGAGAUCAUCGAGUCCGACGGCGAGGAGGGCGAGGAGCGUGAGGAGCCAGAGCAGAUUGAGUCGGAGGGCGAGGAGGAGGGCGAGGAGGCGGCGGCAGAUGCCGCCGCCGGUGCCGCCGGAGGCGGAAAGGGCGGCAAAUCCAAGGCCCCCAGCGGCAAGACCAAAUCCACAGCCAAACAGAUGUGGCGCGGUCUGAUGUCCAAGGCCAAGCUUUCCAAAAAGCCCAAAGAGGGCCAGCAGGGCCAGGACGAGGCCAAGGAGGAGGGCGAGGCGGAUUCAGCAUCCGGCGGCAAGAAGUCAACGGGCACCAAAACGGCAAAGCCGGACAAGGGCAAAGGCGGCAAGGGCAAGGCCGCUGGGGCCGGCGAGGAGGAGGAGGCUCCGGAGCAGAUCGAGUCCGAGGGCGAGGAGGGUGAGGCGGGCGGCGGCGAGGCGGCCGGCGGCGGCGGCGACAAGGGCGCCUCGGGCAAGGCCGGUGACCGGUGGCUGAGCGCCGUGAGGAGCGCUGCGUCGAAGCCGUGGAGUGCCUGGAGCAAGAAGGCAAAGGACAAGAAGGAGGCGGCGGCGGCGGCCAAGGCCAAGGCGGCGGCGGCCGCAAAGGCGGCGGCGGCCGGCGUGCCCGAGACCAUCCAGGAGGGAAGUGAGGAGGGUGAGGAGGGUGAGUCGCCGGCGGCCGCGGCGGCGGCGCAGCGUGGCAGUGGCAGUGGCAGCGGCAGCGGCGGUGCCGGGGCGGCAGCGGCGGCUUCCAAGGCCAAACCACAGCCCGAGGUGCAGAUGCCAAAGGCAACGGGCAAGGCUGCAAAGGCGGCGGCUAAGGUGGAGGCGGCGGCGAAAAAAGCAGCCGCCAAGGCCACUGCCGCCGACGCCGGCGGCGGCGGCGGCAGUGGAAGCCCGGGUGGCGUGGCGGCCGCGGCGGCGGCUUCAGCAAAGGAUGCAGCGGCGGCGGUGGGCACAGCGGGGCAGGUAGGGGCCGGCAAGGGGGCGGCCGCCGCCGCCGCCGCCACAGCAACAGUAGCAGCAGGCGGCGCCACGGGACUUGCUGCGGCCGCUGCCGCCGCCGCUUCCACCCUCAAGACACGGGCGUCCGAGACGCUGCCGGGCCCAGCCACCGCCGCCGCUGCGGCCGCCGAGCCCGAGGACGAGGAGGAGGAGGACGAUGAUUCGCCGGCUGCCCAGCAGCCCUUGAAGGCAGCCGGCGCCGCCGCCGCCGCCACCAGCUCCACGGCUCCCAGCCGCCGCAAGAGCAGCACCCUGACGGAGGCGGAUGCCGUGCCGGCGGCGGCGGCGGCGACGGCGGCGGCGCGGGCGGCGGAGGGUGGUGGCAAGAAGGGCGCGGAUGCAGUCGCGACAUCCACAUCGGCGGCACCAGCACCGGCGGCUGCAAAGCCGCUGUCAAGCGACUGGGCGGCGGCGGAGGCGGCGGUGGCGGCAGCCAAGGCGCAUGCUAAGGAGGCGGCGGCUGCCGCGGCCGCGGGUGGCACGUCCAUGGACCUUGAAGAGGAGGAGUCGGUGCUCCGUGCCUCCGCCAACUCGGGUGUCGUGACCGACACCGAAUCAACUGCGGGCGGCGCUAAGGCCGUCAAGGCCGGCAAGCCCGGCAAGGGGCCUAAGGGCAAGAAGGGCAAGAAGGGCGCUGCCGCUGCUGCCGCUGGAGCCGUAGCCGGCAAGGACAUCGUGGGGUCGUCGGGCGAGGGCGCGCCGCUCAAGGGCCCCAAAGCCAAGCUGCUCCAAAAGCUGUUGAACCUGUCGACCGUAGUGAACCAGCAGCGCGCCGCGGCGGAGGCGCAGGCGGCCGCCGGCGGGGCGGAGGGAGCGGCGGCCGCCGCCGCCGCGGCUGCGCCAGCCGCCGGCGCCGCCGCUGGAGCCGGCGGCGCCACGGCUGUUGCAGUGACCUCCAAGUCUUAUAGCAAGGAUGAGGUGCCGAAGGAGAUGAGAAAGCUAGCAGACGACCAGGUGCGAGCUCUCGGUGACGACGACGAUGAUGACGAUGGCGGUAAUGGCACCGCGCCGGAGGAGGCGGCGGCGGCGGCGGCGGUGGCAGCGGCGGCGGCUGGCGGCGGCGGCGGCACUGGCUCUCCUGGCGGCGGCUCCGGCGGCUCUCUGGGCAGCAGCCUGCCGGUGACGACCAAGCAAAGCGCGCUGCAGCGACUGAAGAGCACACUGGCCCGGUGAGGGGGGGAGGGCUGUUGAGGGUGGGGGGGGGGAGGGGGAGGGCCGGAGGGGGUUGGUGAGGGACGUGGCAGCAACAACGCUGACGGACUGGCAUGCGUGGCGUGUGUGAUUGCCGCCAACCUACACACGGUACCCACGGCCCAGAAAUCUCGCCCACACCCACACCCACACCCACACCCACACACCAACACACACCCACACACCCACACACGCACCCACAGAAAGCGGGACAAGGCCAAGGGCGGCGAGGAGGUGGGGUGGUGCAUGGGAGGGGGGGAGGGGGGGCACAUGGAGGCGGUAGAUGUGGUGUGUGUAUGUGUGUGUUCCCGCUGCAGGUUGUGUGCCGGUCCCACGUGAUCUCACACAAUGAGAUGGAGGCAAUGCAACAUAGCACCCUGGUACAUCGCACAAACCAUCCUCACCGUACAUCAAUACAUCUCACACAUCUUCUCCCUCUCCCUCUCCCCCUCCCAUCGCUCCUUCCUCACACAGGGCGCUGCUGACACGGACAGUGGCGGCGGCGGCGGCGGAGGUGGGGACGGCAGCGGCGGCGGCAGCGGCGGCGGCGGCAGUGGCGGCGGCAGCGGCGGCCCCACGCCCGCGUUCCGCCGCAGCGGCGGUGGCGGCGGCGUGGAGGUGUCCUCCCCCAGCCGCACCGCCAAGGGCAGCGCCACGGGCGGCGGCGUGGCAGCCAAGCUGCUGGCCAGCCUGCGCUCCUCGGCGGGCCGCGGCGGCGGUGAUGUGGGCGGCCCGGCCCUGACUGCGGGAGGUGAGCUCGUGCGUGGUGGCCACACGGCUUACGGCACACGGCACAGCAGUGCAUUGGCUACAAUGGCAGUGGCGGGGCAGUGCGGGGGAGUGCGUGGCGUGGGAGUGCAGGCACUGCCCCGCUGUCCACUGCUGUGUACGGCACUGCCGCGGUAAUAACGUCGCGAAGCGCCCACUCAGGCCCUGGCCCUGUCCCUGCCCUGUGCUGCCCUGUGCUGCCCUGUCCUUGUCCUUGUCCUGCCCCAUGUGUGGUCUAUUUGUCCUUGACCUAUGUGCUGCGCUGCCCUUGACCUAUGUGCUGUGCUGUGCUGUGCUGCAGACUCGCCGCGCACCAGCGGCGGCAGCGGUAUGAUGAGCCGACUGAUGGGCUCACUGCGCCGGGGCAAGCCGCCGCCCGAGGUGCAGGUGCGCGUGUGUUUUGUAUAAAGAGCACAAAGAAAACAUAGCGCAAAGACAGUGCGUGUGUGCGUGCGUGUGCGUGCGCGCGUGUGUGUGUGUGUGUGUGUGUGUGAGGGUGUGUGAGGUGUGCGUGUGUGUGUGUGUGUGUCUGUGUGUGUGUGU